rnacentral:lncRNA from 1 species
GUUAAGAGACACCUAAAUCAGUUGUACUAAUUAACUUAAGAUCUUCUCACCGACUUCACCAAGUCAUGAGAGGACAAAGCAGAUUUUGAUCACACCUUAAUUAGUCAGCAUAAUCAUAUGACUGACUAACCUAGGUGGCAUGGGUUAGCCCAAAUCAAUGAGCAACCUAAUCAAAAGCUGAUUGAUUAUAUUGGUCAGGUAAGUG